CCCUGGCUCAGGACGAACGCGGGCGGCGUGCCUAAUACAUGCAAGUCGAGCGGAGCACUUCGGUGCUUAGCGGCGGACGGGUGAGUAACACGUAGGUAACCUGCCUAUAAGACUGGGAUAACUAUCGGAAACGAUAGCUAAGACCGGAUAACUGGUUUUCUCGCAUGAGAGAAUCAUGAAACACGGAGCAAUCUGUGGCUUAUAGAUGGGCCUGCGGCGCAUUAGCUAGUUGGUAGGGUAACGGCCUACCAAGGCGACGAUGCGUAGCCGACCUGAGAGGGUGAACGGCCACACUGGGACUGAGACACGGCCCAGACUCCUACGGGAGGCAGCAGUAGGGAAUCUUCCGCAAUGGACGCAAGUCUGACGGAGCAACGCCGCGUGAGUGAUGAAGGUUUUCGGAUCGUAAAGCUCUGUUGCCCUAGACGAAUAGCAAGGUGAGUAACUGCACUUUGUGUGACGGUAUAGGAGAAGAAAGCCCCGGCUAACU
rnacentral:rRNA from 1 species